GAUGAACGCUAGCGGCAGGCCUAAUACAUGCAAGUCGAACGGGAUCCAGAUCAAAGCUUGCUUUGGUUUGGUGAGAGUGGCGUACGGGUGCGUAACGCGUGAGCAACCUACCCUUGUCAGGGGGAUAGCCCGGCGAAAGUCGGAUUAAUACCGCAUGACAUCAUUGAGAGGCAUCUUUCGAUGAUCAAAGAUUUAUCGGACAAGGAUGGGCUCGCGUGACAUUAGCUAGUUGGUAAGGUAACGGCUUACCAAGGCUACGAUGUCUAGGGGCUCUGAGAGGAGACUCCCCCACACUGGUACUGAGACACGGACCAGACUCCUACGGGAGGCAGCAGUAAGGAAUAUUGGUCAAUGGACGGAAGUCUGAACCAGCCAUGCCGCGUGCAGGAAGACGGCCCUAUGGGUUGUAAACUGCUUUUAUACGGGAACAAACGUCGGUACGUGUACCGGUCUGAGUGUACCGUAAGAAUAAGGAUCGGCUAACUCCGUG
rnacentral:rRNA from 1 species